rnacentral:rRNA from 1 species
AGUGAACGCUGGCGGUAGGCCUAACACAUGCAAGUCCAACGGCAGCACAGUAAGAGCUUGCUCUUACGGGUGGCGAGUGGCGGACGGGUGAGGAAUACAUCGGAAUCUACUUUUUCGUGGGGGAUAACGUAGGGAAACUUACGCUAAUACCGCAUACGACCUACGGGUGAAAGCAGGGGAUCUUCGGACCUUGCGCGAUUGAAUGAGCCGAUGUCGGAUUAGCUAGUUGGCGGGGUAAAGGCCCACCAAGGCGACGAUCCGUAGCUGGUCUGAGAGGAUGAUCAGCCACACUGGAACUGAGACACGUUCCAGACUCCGACGGGAGGCAGCAGUGGGGAAUAUUGGACAAUGGGCGCAAGCCUGAUCCAGCCAUACCGCGUGGGUGAAGAAGGCCUUCGGGUUGUAAAGCCCUUUUGUUGGGAAAGAAAAGCAGCAGGUUAAUACCCCGCUGUUCUGACGGUACCCAAAGAAUAAGCACCGGCUAACUUCGUG